GAAAGAUGAAAAGAACUUUGAAAAGAGAGUUAAACAGUACGUGAAAUUGUUGAAAGGGAAACGAUUGAAGCCAGUCGUACCUUCGGGUAAUCAGCCUUUCGGGUGCGAUUCUGUGGAGUGUGAGGAGCUUAAACACCUUCAUGUUUUGCAUAUUCGUACUCUUGGGUGUACUUGCCCGUAUGGUUGGUUAACAUCAAUUUUGGUGGUCAUAAAAUGACUGGAGGAAUGUAGCUUCGAUCUUGUAUUGAAGUGUUAUA
rnacentral:rRNA from 1 species